UAAGGAAUAUUGGUCAAUGGACGCAAGUCUGAACCAGCCAUGCCGCGUGAAGGAUGAAGGUCCUCUGGAUUGUAAACUUCUUUUAUCUGGGACGAAAACGGGAUUUUUAUCUCAAUUGACGGUACCAGAGGAAUAAGCACCGGCUCACUCCGUGCCAGCAGCCGCGGUAAUACGGAGGGUGCGAGCGUUAUCCGGAUUUACUGGGUUUAAAGGGUGCGUAGGUGGGCUUAUAAGUCAGUGGUGAAAUCUCCGAGCUUAACUUGGAAACUGCCGUUGAUACUAUAGGUCUUGAAUUAUCUGGAGGUCAGCGCAAUAUGUCAUGUUGCGGUGAAAUGCUUAGAUAUGACAUGGAAAACCAAUUGCGAAGGCAGCUUACUACAUAUAAAUUGACGCUGAGGCACGAAAGCGUGGGGAUCAAACA
rnacentral:rRNA from 1 species